rnacentral:rRNA from 1 species
GGACAACCUGCCCUAAGGUCUGGCAUAACUCCGGGAAACUGGGGAUAAUUCCAGAUGAACCAUAGAUACUGGAAUGUGCUGUGGUUAAAAGCUCCGGCGCCUUAGGAUGGAUCUGCGGCCUAUCAGGUAGUAGUGGGUGUAAUGUACCUACUAGCCUACGACGGGUACGGGUUGUGAGAGCAAGAGCCCGGAGAUGGAUUCUGAGACAUGAAUCCAGGCCCUACGGGGCGCAGCAGGCGCGAAAACUUUACAAUGCGGGAAACCGCGAUAAGGGGACACUGAGUGCCAGUACCAUGUACUGGCUGUCCGCAUGUAUAAAUCACAUGUGUCAGCAAGGGCCGGGCAAGACCGGUGCCAGCCGCCGCGGUAACACCGGCGGCCCGAGUGGUGGCCAUUAUUAUUGGGUCUAAAGGGUCCGUAGCCGGUUUGAUCAGUCUUCCGGGAAAUCUGACAGCUCAACUGUUAGGCUUCUGGGGGAUACUGUCAGACUUGGAACCGGGAGAGGUAAGAGGUACUACAGGGGUAGGAGUGAAAUCUUGUAAUCCUUGUGGGACCACCAGUGGCGAAGGCGUCUUACCAGAACGGGUUCGACGGUGAGGGACGAAAGCUGGGGGCACGAACCGGAUUAGAUACCCGGGUAGUCCCAGCCGUAAACGAUGCUCGCUAGGUGUCUGGGAUGGUGCGACCGUUUCAGGUG